rnacentral:rRNA from 1 species
AUACGGAGGGGGUUAGCGUUGUUCGGAAUUACUGGGCGUAAAGCGUACGUAGGCGGACUGGAAAGUUGGGGGUGAAAUCCCGGGGCUCAACCCCGGAACUGCCUCCAAAACUUCCAAUCUAGAGAUCGAGAGAGGUGAGUGGAAUUCCAAGUGUAGAGGUGAAAUUCGUAGAUAUUUGGAGGAACACCAGUGGCGAAGGCGGCUCACUGGCUCGAUACUGACGCUGAGGUACGUAAGCGUGGGGAGCAAACAGGAUUAGAAACCCUAGUAGUCC